CAGCCCUAAACGAUGCGCGUUAGGUGUAUCGGUGACCACGAGUCACCGAGGUGCCGAAGGGAAACCGUGAAACGUGCCGCCUGGGAAGUACGGUCGCAAGGCUGAAACUUAAAGGAAUUGGCGGGGGGAGGCACCACAACGGGUGGAGCCUGCGGUUUAAUUGGACUCAACGCCGGGAAGCUCACCGGAUAAGACAGCGGAAUGAAGGCCAGGCUGAAGACUUUGCCGGAUUAGCUGAGAGGAGGUGCAUGGCGUAGUCGUGU
rnacentral:rRNA from 1 species